GAGAGAGAGAGAGAGAGAGAGAGAGAGAGAGGGCUACAGAUUAUUGGAAGUGAGAGAGAGAGAGGAAUGCAUAGAAAAAACAAGGUUUUAAUAAAACAUCACACUAAGCAUUUAGAUACAAUUAUAUGUGGACAAGGAAUUAAUGGCAUGGCAUCGGUUUUCCCGGCCACAGAUGGGAUUCUUCGUAAUUUAAAGUCAUUCCAAUGUAAGUA
rnacentral:lncRNA from 1 species